GGGGUGCCGCACAAGCGGUGGAGCAUGUGGGUUGAUUAGUAGCACCGCGAAGAACCUUACCAGGUCUUGACAUCCUCUGACAACCCUAGAGAUAGGGCUUUCCCUUCGGGGACAGAGUGACAGGUGGUGCAUGGUUGUCGUCAGCUCGUGUCGUGAGAUGUUGGGUUAAGUCCCGCAACGAGCGCAACCCUUGAUCUUAGUUGCCAGCAUUCAGUUGGGCACUCUAAGGUGACUGCCGGUGACAAACCGGAGGAAGGUGGGGAUGACGUCAAAUCAUCAUGCCCCUUAUGACCUGGGCUACACACGUGCUACAAUGGACAGAACAAAGGGCUGCGAGACCGCAAGGUUUAGCCAAUCCCACAAAUCUGUUCUCAGUUCGGAUCGCAGUCUGCAACUCGACUGCGUGAAGCUGGAAUCGCUAGUAAUCGCGGAUCAGCAUGCCGCGGUGAAUACGUUCCCGGGCCUUGUACACACCGCCCGUCACACCACGAGAGUUUGCAACACCCGAAGUCGGUGAGGUAACCUUUAGGAGCCAGCCGCCGAAGGUGGGCAGAGUGGUUGU
rnacentral:rRNA from 1 species